CAGUCGCCGCGGGAAUACGUAGGUGGCAAGCGUUGUCCGGAAUUAUUGGGCGUAAAGGGCUCGCAGGCGGUUUCUUAAGUCUGAUGUGAAAGCCCCCGGCUCAACCGGGGAGGGUCAUUGGAAACUGGGAAACUUGAGUGCAGAAGAGGAGAGUGGAAUUCCACGUGUAGCGGUGAAAUGCGUAGAGAUGUGGAGGAACACCAGCGGCGAAGGCGACUCUCUGGUCUGUAACUGACGCUGAGGAGCGAAAGCGUGGGGAGCGAACAGGAUUAGAUACCCCCGUAGUCCCUGUCUCUUAUAC
rnacentral:rRNA from 1 species